rnacentral:rRNA from 1 species
AUUGAACGCUGGCGGCAUGCCUUACACAUGCAAGUCGAACGGCAGCGGGGACUUCGGUCCGCCGGCGAGUGGCGAACGGGUGAGUAAUGUAUCGGAACGUACCAUUGGGUGGGGGAUAACGUAGCGAAAGUUACGCUAAUACCGCAUAUUCUCUCCGCAGGAAAGCAGGGGUCCGCAAGGCCUUGCGCUCUUUGAGCGGCCGAUAUCAGAUUAGCUAGUUGGUGAGGUAAAGGCUCGCCAAGGCGACGAUCUGUCGCGGGUCGGAGAGGAUGAUCCGCCACACUGGAACUGAGACACGGUCCAGACUCCUACGGGAGGCAGCAGUGGGGAAUUUUGGACAAUGGGGGCAACCCUGAUCCAGCCAUGCCGCGUGAGUGAAGAAGGCCUUCGGGUUGUAAAGCUCUUUCGGCCGGGAAAAAAUCGCAUGGGCUAAUACCCUGUGUGGAUGAUGGUACCGGAAUAAGAAGCACCGGCUAACUACGUGCCAGCCGCCGCGGUAA